rnacentral:rRNA from 1 species
UACGUAGGCAGCAAGCGUUGUUCGGAGUUACUGGGCGUAAAGGGUGUGUAGGCGGUUAGAAAAGUUAGAAGUGAAAGGCUAUAGCUUAACUAUAGUAAGCUUUUAAAACUGUUUAACUUGAGAGAUGGAAGGGAAAGUGGAAUUCCUAGUGUAGCGGUGAAAUGCGUAGAUAUCUGGAGGAACACCGGUGGCGAAGGCGGCAUCCUGGACUACUACUGACGCUGAGGAGCGAAAGCCAGGGGAGC